AAUUUUUCUAUAGCUCUGAAUAAAAACACCCUGCCUGCUGAGAACAGUUGCUGGCUUAUGAAGUGACUUACUUGGGGACUUAAUACCUGUGGAGGAGCAUUGCCUGGAAGAGCUUGAAUAAAAUGCUGCAGCCAGCUGAAUCUGAAGCAUCAGAGGUCUGUUUUCAAAAGCAGCAACUCAGGAGCAUGCAAGAGAUGAACUGUUG